UACGUAGGGGGCAAGCGUUGUCCGGAUUUAUUGGGCGUAAAGAGCGUGUAGGCGGUUAGGUAGGUCCGUUGUGAAAACUCGAGGCUCAACCUCGAGACGCCGAUGGAAACCAUCUAACUAGAGUCCGGAAGAGGAGAAUGGAAUUCCUGGUGUAGCGGUGGAAUGCGCAGAUAUCAGGAGGAACACCGGUGGCGAAGGCGGGUCUCUGGGCAGUAACUGACGCUGAGGAGCGAAAAGCGUGGG
rnacentral:rRNA from 1 species